GGGUUUUUACGUUUUUAAGGAUUAGAAGAGAAAAAGGAUGACUAUGUGACAGAGACCAGAUAUAGUCUGCAAAGGCAAAGGUUGGACACCAGUUGCCGCUGGUUGUCCAAGUCGACGACCAGGUCGUCCAGCUCCUGCUGAAGCCUGUUCUUGGUCUUUUCCAGUUUGUCAUAAGCAGCUGCCUUCUCUUCGUACUGCUGGGUGAGGCCCUCGAUUUCCUUCUGGAACCUCUUCUUCCCCUCCUCCAUGGCUUCCACGGUGCUGGCGAAGUCCUGGAGCUUCUUCUUCGAGUCGGCAAGCUGAAAUGGCCAUGGCGGGGCUUGGGUCAGAGGAGAGCGACGCUGAGAAGCGAGACCACCUUCUCCUCGGUGGAGGGCUUCAACAGCGGGGCCGCUGGGGGGCCCGGCAGCGUGAUGGCCGUGCUCAACCAGGGGCUGAACGCCAGGCACCGGGAGGAAAGCCAGGGGACCACCCCCCCCAAGCAAGGUCGCGCGGCCGGCACCUGGACGUUCAGGGUGGAGAUGUGGCGCUCCAGGUUCUGCUUGGCCUCCAUCUCCUCAUCCAGCUGGUCUUGCAGGCUGUUCCUCUCGUCCUCCAGCUGGCGCAGCUUGGUGGACACGCUGAGCUUCUGCCGGGUUUCUUCUUGAAGCAGCUCCUACAGCAGCACACCCGAGGUCUGAGGGACCCGCCCAGGAGGGCCACGCCCCAGGUGCCCCCGGACGAUGCAGCAGGGUGCUCACCUGGGUGUCCUGGAGCUGGGACCCAAGGGAUGCCACGUCCUUGGCUAGUUUGAUGGCCUUGCCCUCUGCCUCCGUGAGCAUGCCCGUGACACUCUCCACUUCAUUCUGGGGGCCCGGAGACGGGUUAGUCGAGACCUCAGAACAGGCGCCCUCUUUACUCAAAGCACAUCACACCCUCGUGGGAUCUGACCUAUGGUGUCCACUGACUGAGGAAAUACCUACGAGGUGUGGAUAACUCUGUGGUCCCCGCAGGAAGCCCAUCGCCCACAAGCGGGAGUCCCUGGCCCUAGACUGUGGUUCUAGGAACCUUUUGGAGCCCUAACCUACUGACGGGGCCCUGAACCCCUCGUGGAUCCUGGAUCCCUGCCAAACGUGGCAAGGGCGAAGCAGGCCUGCAGAUCCAGGGCUGAGAGGUGCUCUGGCCCUCUGCUCCCUGGCGUUGGGAGGAGACGGCAGAUGACAUGAACACCCGAGGGUCCCGUCCCGACCCUCCCUCUCUGUCCUUCCACCAGCUUUUAUAGCCACAACCAAAGAUGCGAACCCUAAAAGUAAAAGGCCCCUGCCUUCACUCCAGCCCCUGCUGUCCCUGAGCAGGUCCUCCAGAGGUGUCCGCCUGCCACCCUCUUCCCGUUUACAGUGAGGCUAUGACUGACCUGGACGCUAUUCUUCCAGGACACUGCUCGUAUUAGGGUAGCAAAACCCCUGCUCUCAAAUGCAUGUGGGGAAGAAGUCACAAUGUUGCCCCUGCCCCAGACCAUAGCACACUAAAUAUUCGCCAAGCUUCUGGCCAUUCCCGUGAAGGGAAAAUGUGUCUUCAAAAUUCAGGCCAAAUGUGUCUUCAAAGCUAAACAAGACCAAAGACAGGCCAUGUCAUUUGUUAGCCCUUCAAUGGCUCACAUCACUCAGUAAUGACAUCUGUGAAUGCGAGGGCCCAUGUCAUCUGGCCACAGCCUCCCUCUGUACUAAGCUUCUCCUUCCAGCUUGGCACUUUGCUCUACCAGCCUUCUCUCACCCCUUCUGAUUUCCCCACUUACCAGAGGGCCUUUGCACAUGCCGUCCCUCUGCCUAGCAGACUUCUAUGUGCCCACUUAUCACAGUCCUGAGGGAAGCCUUGUCCCAGGCCAGCCCUCUUGUCCUUACUCCAUUAUGUGCCUCCCCUUCCAGCUUAAUCUGCUUUGAUCUGGGUGACACCAGGCUGGAGCUCACUGGGGCAGGCACAGUGUGCCAUCUUCCUUGAUCUGGGUCUCAGGACCAUGUGCAGUGUGUGGCACAGAGCAGAGGCUCAGCGAACCCUCGCGGCUGCACGGAUGAGGCACUCCCAGCUCAAGCUGAGCAGGGAGGCACAGGGCUGGCGCGGCCAGGACCGCGGGUAGCCGAGCGGCGCCCCGCCCGCUCACCUGCAGCUUGUGGACCUUGUCGCUGAGCUCGGCGCGCGCCCGCUCCCCGUCGCUGCACUUGGACUGCAGCUCCUGCAGCUGCACCUCCAGCUUCUUCUUCUUGUGCUCCACCUCCUGCCUCGCCUGGCCCAGGGCCCGCAGCUCGCCCGCCAGGUCCGCGUUCUCCUUCUCCAGCGCCUGCUUGCUCUUGUCCAGGUUGGCCUUGGCCUGCGGGGAGCGGGAGGCCACACUGCAGCUGGGCGUCGCCAGUGCCCUCCUCCCCGCUCCCCCUGGGAGACCCCUGCAGGGGUGGCGCGUGGCGGGGGCAGCGCAGGUCGCCAACACGACCCGGGGAUUCCGUCUUCCUAAGCCGUGGAGCUGGCACCCUGGCGUCCCUCGGCCACAUCCAUCUGCUGUCCUGUCCCGUCUAACCCAUUUGGAAUUUUCAAAAAGGUUGCCAAGAUUUUAAUAAAUUUUAUAUGGAAA